rnacentral:rRNA from 1 species
GACAGAGGUGCCAAGCGUUAGGCGGAAUCACUGGGCCUAAAGCAUCCGUAGCCGGUUCUACAAGUCUUCCGUUAAAUCCACCUGCUUAACAGAUGGGCUGCGGAAGAUACUAUGGAGCUAGGAGGCGGGAGAGGCAAGCGGUACUCGAUGGGUAGGGGUAAAAUCCGUUGAUCCAUUGAAGACCACCAGUGGCGAAGGCGGCUUGCCAGAACGCGCUCGACGGUGAGGGAUGAAAGCUGGGGGAGCAAACCGG